UACGUAGGGUCCGAGCGUUGUCCGGAAUUACUGGGCGUAAAGAGCUCGUAGGUGGUUUGUCGCGUUGUUCGUGAAACUCACAGCUCAACUGUGGGCGUGCGGGCGAUACGGGCAGACUAGAGUACUGCAGGGAGACUGGAAGUUCCUGGUGUAGCGGUGGAAUGCGCAGAUAUCAGGAGGAACACCGGUGGCGAAGGCGGGUCUCUGGCGAGUAACUGACGCUGAGGAGCGAAGCGUGGGAGUGAACAGG
rnacentral:rRNA from 1 species